UUUUACACGGACAAAAAUAUGAUGAAAUUUUAAUGGUACACGUUAUUUGAAAAUAAAACAUACGAGUCUUUCGCUAACCGCUGGAACAAAAAUAUUUUCAUGACAGAGCAACCUGUCAAACUGCAAUGGAAAUUCUAGUUUCAAUUUGUUAGAUGGGGCAAUUCCCUAUGCGGUUUAUAGCAAUCGUCACGUAUAAAAGCGCAUUGCAAUCGGCUCAAUGGCAUCAGUUCAACUUGAGUUCUUACAACCAACAAAUCAGUAAGUAAAUUAAAAAAAAAAUUACACAAAAUGAAAUUUCUAUCGGUUGCUUUUCUACUCGGUCUGCUGGCGUUGGCAAGUGCCGCGCCUUUGAGUCCUGGCAAUGUGAUCAUCAAUGGAGAUUGCAAAGUUUGCAAUGUGCAUGGCGGCAAAUGAGAUGCAGAUGGAUUUCAACUAUAUAAUAACUACACGGAAUACUACAACAAUAUAUUAAUUAUCAACUAAAUAUAAUAUGAAUUGAUUUAAAAUUUGAUUGACUAAAUAAAAAGCAAAUAAUGUAACUUAUACUGCAGCUCAAAACAAACU